AGAGUCCAGCGCAUAAUCUCCCGGGCUACCCAGCCUGCGGCGAACUGUUGCGUAAUGGGAAAAACCGCACUAAAGCCCUGUACAGCGUGUUCUAAAUACGAUUUGAAUAUUCACUAAGGCUUAACGGUCUUUAACGGUUCCACAGAGGGUGACAGACCCGUGUGCGUUCCACGUGAUAUAUUUGUACAGUGGUUCGGUUUCUUUCCCGGAGAGUCGCGCUGCUUGAUAAUUCAGCGCUAAGCUGGUCGUAAACUCGACCAAAGACUAAAUAUAUCCACAGAACCGAUAGUAAACAAGUACCGUGAGGGAAAGUUGAAAAGCACUCUGAAGAGAGAGUCAAAAGACCGUGAAACCGCUUAGAGUAUAAGCCAAUGGUAUCCCGGAAGGCUAGAGCUGCCAGUUCGCCACUAACAGUCGGGCUGGUAUCGUGUGUGCAGUGAUACAAGGCGGACAAAGUAGCCUCGAGUGGCGAAACCUCUCUAACUUGCGGGUCUGUGACAGUGGUAACUGGUGACGCUCUAAUGUGAGACGAACCUAGGCUGGACUUAUGCAAGCAGUGCCGUUGUUGAACACACUAACGAGUAGCUAAAACAGCCCACCACAACUCUUUAUGAGGUCACACGCACUUAGCGAUGAGGUGUGUGUGUGACUGCCCGGCGCAUGCGUGAGAUUUAAGUCGCUCUCGGAAGUUGCCGGCCUGAUCUCGCGCUCUUCCAAAGUGUGUGCUUAUGAUCCUCUGUGAAGUGUUGCUUUCUGGCACGGCAUUGUCUAGCGGUUGGCUUUCUCAAGGGCGUUACUCUUGAGGGUCGCGACGAGUUGCCCUAGCGAUUUAGAUUCCGCUGACCGUGAGGAUGAAUGGUGACUUAUUCCGGGGCCAUCGGUCACGUCUCGAAACACGGGCCAAGGAGAAUAGCAUGUGCGCAAGUCUAAGGGUCUAACUAAACCCCGAGGCGAAGCGAAAGCAAAUGGUGUGUCAGUUAACGCUGGCAGCCUGCAAAGCCCCUCUCUUUCUUGAGAGAGGGCCCCGGCUAUGAACUGAGCUGAUCCUUUGGUAAUGUCUCCCGACUAUACCUGGGCGCAAGCUCCAGUCUCUGUCACAAUCGUUGCAGCGAUGACGGAGAACUGUCUAGCGUGCAUGCUAUAACCCGAAAGAUAGUGAACUAUGCCUGACGA
rnacentral:rRNA from 1 species